AAUCCAUGUUGAGGGCAACGUCGAAUCAAGUCUUUAUACAUUUCCCAUGCUUCAUAGAAUGACUCAAAAUUAUUUUGCUUGAAUUGACCAAUCUUACUCCUGAGUUG